AACUUCUCUUCCAAGAUUAGUCCAAUAACACACGGAUAGCCUUAAAUGCCAUCUGGCACCUGGUUGUGUGGAAUUUGAAGCUAGUGAAAAUCUUGCUAGAUCUGAACAUGCUGGUUUAUGAGGCCAACCAACAGGAUCAACAAAGAAUUAUAAGAACAAAAGGAAAAAAGAAAGAAAGAAAACAAGACAAACCCCAUAUCUGUGGAAUAUACCUUUUGAAUUAUACAUUAGGUAAGUGGAAAAGUUACUCAUUAUAGCUGCCUAAAUGGACAAGGAUGGUGAAGUUGAAUCUUUGUAUACACGUAUUCCAAAUGAUGAAGAUUUUUUGGAGCAAGAUUGCCCUCAAAUAGAUGUGGAUGAAGAAGUUGAAGAACCAAAUGUCUUAAGGAUCACUUGUUCGGAUGAAGAGUUGGAUGGGGAUGAAAGUUCGAAUGAAGAGUUUGAUCUUUUGAUCCAUUGAACAUCAUGGGGAAAAUAAAUGGAAAGGGAGGGAAGUGGGGCCAAGGUUUGAGCAAACUAGAUAUUUUCAGUUGUGGAGUUGAACCUUUUUCUUCUUUUUUCCCUUCCCAACAAACAUUUUCCCUAGUGUCAUAUCUUAACUCUUUGAUGGACUAGUUACUUGGUUAUAUUGGUGUAGAAUGAAAACAGUACUCCUUGGCAGGCCACAACCACUCCUGUGGAGAUGAGUCCUUUCAUGUCAGCUAAUAGAAUUAAGAAGCCAAUAUUGCUUAUCCACGGAGAAGACAAUAUUACAGGACAUGCAUUAUAAAGUCCUGUAAAUCAUAUAUUUUUUUUUUAAUGAUAUUGGCAUCAUAAAAUUGCUUUGAACUUCAAUAUCUUGUUCUGCCCUGUGAAAAUCCAUGAAGAUGUCUAUAACAGUUCCAUUAUUUUCUGUUCGAUGCUUGGUAAUUUAGCUCACUUGGGUGCCAUGACUUGGAAGUUUUCUGGAUGAUAACUUUUGUUGCAAUCCAACAUUGAACUCAAU